GACACGCUACCAACUAAUCCAUCGGGCAGGUAAAUCAGGAACAGCCGCCAGUCACUGCACAAGAUGAUUAGCAUUGGUCCUGAUAACGCCCGGCGACAAUCUUAUCACCUUCCGUUGCGCAUCGGUAAUCCUCAGUCGACGCCCUGUUCGUGUUGUGGCUUGACGCACCGCUCUGUAUGCCACAUUCUUUUACUCUGGAAGGCUUUGACAUUUUGCCAGGACGUGUCAGAAGACAAUGCUACCAGAUGAUGUAUCGAACAGGUCUACACAUGUAAUGCUCCUGAUGAGACUGUGCUGUGCGACGAGACAUUGCUGGGUACACGUAACAAACGAGAGAAAGAGGGAAAUAAUACUUUCCUCAACAACGCGGUUCUAUACGUGGCACCAGCUGCAGCUGCAUGUUUUCGCUGAACACUGCUGAUUGUGGCAGCUCAAGUCGGUCAGCAGAUCACAUCGUGGCUUCCCUGAAAAAGCUUUUUCUCUGUGAAUAGCAGAUAGGAUAAGGUUUGGGCAACACUGGAGAAGCUGGCAAGACCAGCGCUCUUCUUACACCAGCCCCAUUCGGCAGACGCUCGACAUUCUGCAAUUCUGUUGGCGAAAGGUCAACACACAGCGUUGCGUGUAAAAUCCGAAGUAAAAUGUGGACUCUGCGCAGAGAACGAAGACGAUCCACCACACACUCAUUCUUGUGGGCUGCCCGGCAGGAACACCCGGGACACCGCCGCUGUGCAGAGACGUGCGUGCAAGAGGGCGCUGCUGACGCACCAAAGGGAUUCCCAUGACAUGACAAAUUCCUGUUCGAUUCGCCGCUCCUGUAAUCCCUCAUCCUUUCGUCUCACCUCGCUGCAAGUGUCUUCGAUCAAAGGGAAGACGUUCCCUCGACUGGUUUGCUCUGCCAUCGCUGAAUUAUGGCCACCACGUUUUGCGAAUGUACCCGGAUGUUUCUUGGACAGCAGGGACUUCGCCUUUUUCUUCUUCUUCUUCUUCUUUUCCGACGGGUUUUUGCGAUGCUGGUUUCCCUCAAAGGUGUUCCUUUUUUGCGAUCACAAAGAGCUUGGUCUCCGACGACAAACCUGACGCGGUCUUCCGUAGUGUCCGUACCUUGUGGAUACAUGCACAGCGGUGUCUGUUUCUUUUUUAUUUACGUUUUGCUACUUUAAAAAGAGAAUGGUUCGCCCGUA